rnacentral:rRNA from 1 species
GUGGGGAAUCUUGGACAAUGGGCGAAAGCCUGAUCCAGCCAUGCCGCGUGGAUGAUGAAGGCCCUAGGGUUGUAAAAUCCUUUCGUUGGGGACGAUAAUGACGGUACCCAAAGAAGAAGCUCCGGCUAACUUCGUGCCAGCAGCCGCGGUAAUACGAAGGGGGCUAGCGUUGUUCGGAUUUACUGGGCGUAAAGCGCGUGUAGGCGGGCUGGAAAGUUGGGGGUGAAAUCCCGAGGCUCAACCUCGGAACUGCCUCCAAAACUUCCAGCCUGGACUCAAGCAGAGGCAAGUGGAAUUGCGAGUGUAGAGGUGAAAUUCGUAGAUAUUCGCAGGAACACCAGUGGCGAAGGCGACUUGCUGGGCUUGUAGCGACGCUGAGACGCGAAAGCGUGGGGAGCAA